rnacentral:rRNA from 1 species
AUUGAACGCUGGCGGCAUGCCUUACACAUGCAAGUCGAACGGUAACAGGUCUUCGGAUGCUGACGAGUGGCGAACGGGUGAGUAAUACAUCGGAACGUGCCUAGUAGUGGGGGAUAACUACUCGAAAGAGUGGCUAAUACCGCAUGAGAGCUACGGAUGAAAGCAGGGGAUCGCAAGACCUUGUGCUACUACAGCGGCCGAUGGCAGAUUAGGUAGGUGGUGGGAUAAAAGCUUACCAAGCCGACGAUCUGUAGCUGGUCUGAGAGGACGAUCAGCCACACUGGGACUGAGACACGGCCCAGACUCCUACGGGAGGCAGCAGUGGGGAAUUUUGGACAAUGGGCGCAAGCCUGAUCCAGCAAUGCCGCGUGCAGGAUGAAGGCCUUCGGGUUGUAAACUGCUUUUGUACGGAACGAAAAGCCCUGGGUUAAUACCCUGGGGUCAUGACGGUACCGUAAGAAUAAGCACCGGCUAACUACGUGCCAGCCGCCGCCGUAAAAC